rnacentral:rRNA from 1 species
UACGGAAUGUGCAAACGUUAUUCGGAAUCACUGGGCUUAAAGAGUCCGUAGGCGGCAUGUUAGGUGAGGUGUGAAAUCCCCCGGCUCAACCGAGGAAUUGCGCUUCAAACCGGCGUGCUUGAGGAAGAUAGAGGUGGGCGGAACUGAUGGUGGAGCGGUGAAAUGCGUUGAUAUCAUCAGGAACACCGGAGGCGAAGGCGGCCCACUGGGUCUUUUCUGACGCUGAGACGCGAAAGCGUGGGGAGCGAACAGG